GGUUUCAAGAGGCAAAGUAAACCUACUCCAUACACACCUCAGCCCAGGUCCUUUGUCUGGUCUAUGUUGUGAGUGGGGAGACCUGG
rnacentral:snoRNA from 1 species